rnacentral:rRNA from 1 species
UACGUAGGGUGCGAGCGUUGUCCGGAAUUAUUGGGCGUAAAGAGCUUGUAGGUGGUUUGUCGCGUCUGCUGUGAAAAUCCGAGGCUCAACCUCGGACUUGCAGUGGGUACGGGCAGACUAGAGUGUGGUAGGGGAGACUGGAAUUCCUGGUGUAGCGGUGGAAUGCGUAGAUAUCAGGAGGAACACCGGUGGCGAAGGCGGAUCUCUGGGCCAUUACUGACGCUGAGGAGCGAAAGCGUGGGGAGCGAACAGG